UUGCUGUGAUGACAGUCUUAGGACACCUUUGGAUUAACCAUGAAAAAAACCCAUCUUCUGAGCAAC